GACGAACGCUGGCGGCGUGCUUAACACAUGCAAGUCGAACGGAAAGGCCUGCUUUCCCUUGUGGAUUGCGGGUACUCGAGUGGCGAACGGGUGAGUAACACGUGAGUGAUCUGCCCCCAACUUGGGUAUAAGCCUGGGAAACUGGGUCUAAUUCCCGAUAGGACUGCAGGGUGGUGCCUGUGGUGGAAAACGAUUUUCUAGUGGUUGGGGAUGAGCUCGCGGCCUAUCAGCUUGUUGGUGGGGUAAUGGCCUACCAAGGCGGCGACGGGUAGCCGGCCUGGGAGGGUGGACGGGCACAUUGGGACUGAGAUACGGCCCAGACUCCUACGGGAGGCAGCAGUGGGGAAGAUUGCACAAUGGGCGGAAGCCUGAUGCAGCGACGCCGCGUGGGGGAUGACGGCCUUCGGGUGGUAAACUCCUUUCGGCCGCGAGGAAGCCACCUGGUUGGAAGGGUGGUGACGGUAGUGGUAGAAGAAGCACCGGCUAACUACGUG
rnacentral:rRNA from 1 species